rnacentral:rRNA from 1 species
GAUGGACGCUAGCGGCAGGCUUAACACAUGCAAGUCGAGGGGCAGCGAGUAGAUUGCUUGCAAUCUAUGUCGGCGACCGGCGCACGGGUGCGUAACGCGUAUGCAACCUACCCAUUACAGGGGGAUAACACUGAGAAAUCGGUACUAAUACCCCAUAACAUCCAGGGAGGCAUCUUCUUGGGUUGAAAACUCCGGUGGUAAUGGAUGGGCAUGCGUUGUAUUAGUUAGUUGGUGGGGUAACGGCUCACCAAGACAACGAUACAUAGGGGGACUGAGAGGUUAACCCCCCACAUUGGUACUGAGACACGGACCAAACUCCUACGGGAGGCAGCAGUGAGGAAUAUUGGUCAAUGGACGCAAGUCUGAACCAGCCAUGCCGCGUGCAGGAAGACGGCUCUAUGAGUUGUAAACUGCUUUUGUACGAGGGUAAACGCAGAUACGUGUAUCUGUCUGAAAGUAUCGUACGAAUAAGGAUCGGCUAACUCCGUGCCAGCAGCCGCGGUAAUACGGAGGAUUCAAGCGUUAUCCGGAUUUAUUGGGUUUAAAGGGUGCGUAGGCGGUCGGAUAAGUUAGAGGUGAAAUCCCGAGGCUCAACUUCGGAAUUGCCUCUGAUACUGUUCGGCUAGAGAGUAGUUGCGGUAGGCGGAAUGUAUGGUGUAGCGGUGAAAUGCUUAGAGAUCAUACAGAACACCGAUUGCGAAGGCAGCUUACCAAGCUACUUCUGACGUUGAGGCACGAAAGCGUGGGGAGCAAACAGGAUUAGAUACCCUGGUAGUCCACGCAGUAAACGAUGAUAACUCGUUGUCGGCGAUACAAUGUCGGUGACUAAGCGAAAGCGAUAAGUUAUCCACCUGGGGAGUACGUUCGCAAGAAUGAAACUCAAAGGAAUUGACGGGGGCCCGCACAAGCGGAGGAACAUGUGGUUUAAUUCGAUGAUACGCGAGGAACCUUACCCGGGCUUGAAAGUUAGUGACAGAUCUGGAAACAGGUCUUCCCUUCGGGGCACGAAACUAGGUGCUGCAUGGUUGUCGUCAGCUCGUGCCGUGAGGUGUCGGGUUAAGUCCCAUAACGAGCGCAACCCCUACCGUCAGUUGCCAGCAGGUCAAGCUGGGCACUCUGGCGGGACUGCCGGUGUAAGCCGAGAGGAAGGUGGGGAUGACGUCAAAUCAGCACGGCCCUUACGUCCGGGGCUACACACGUGUUACAAUGGCAGGUACAGAGGGCAGCUACCCAGCGAUGGGAUGCGAAUCUCGAAAGCCUGUCUCAGUUCGGAUUGGAGGCUGAAACCCGCCUCCAUGAAGUUGGAUUCGCUAGUAAUCGCGCAUCAGCCAUGGCGCGGU